CUCAUAAAGCACACAUGGCACGCUUUUCCGGACUACCUCAAGGAAGAUCAAGCGACACUUAUAAACAUAUCAUCCGGACGGAUUACACAAUACAUCCGGAUGAUCGACAUAUCCCAUCCGGAUACAAGGGUCCGGAUCAUUGACUGAAGUAAAGCAAGUCUCACACGUUACCACAACAGCCUGUCAUGCCCCACGUCCCAUCACCUGCAGAGUG
rnacentral:lncRNA from 1 species